AUUGAACGCUGGCGGCAGGCCUAACACAUGCAAGUCGAACGGUAGCACAGAGAGCUUGCUCUCGGGUGACGAGUGGCGGACGGGUGAGUAACGUCUGGGAAACUGCCCGAUGGAGGGGGAUAACUACUGGAAACGGUAGCUAAUACCGCAUAACGUCGCAAGACCAAAGUGGGGGACCUUCGGGCCUCACACCAUCGGAUGUGCCCAGAUGGGAUUAGCUAGUAGGUGGGGUAAUGGCUCACCUAGGCGACGAUCCCUAGCUGGUCUGAGAGGAUGACCAGCCACACUGGAACUGAGACACGGUCCAGACUCCUACGGGAGGCAGCAGUGGGGAAUAUUGCACAAUGGGCGCAAGCCUGAUGCAGCCAUGCCGCGUGUAUGAAGAAGGCCUUCGGGUUGUAAAGUACUUUCAGCGGGGAGGAAGGCGGUGAAGUUAAUAACUUCACCGAUUGACGUUACCCGCAGAAGAAGCACCGGCUAACUCCGUGCCAGCCGCCGCGGUAA
rnacentral:rRNA from 1 species